GCGAAGACUCACCAGGCACACCUCCCAGCAAACGAGGGUCCAUCCCACAGUCAUUCUAAAAGGCACCACGGAAAUCGAGGGAAAAGCUCUGGGGCCAGGCUUGCAGGCACCAACUGGAAGACAGCCAUACUAGUCCUCAGCCCCUUGGCAUUCAUACUGGGAUUAAUAAUACUGACCCUGAAUGGUCAUUACAACAAGAAGAAGAAAAUCCUGUCUGCUUUGAAGAGCUCCCCA